UGUCGCCUGGGGAAACCACCCGCGGGCCGCGCGCGCUGCCAGGCCCGGGGUUCCGGUGAGCGGCUGCUGGUAGACGCCCUGAACGGUUGCCUCCCAACGGACGCCAGUGGCGGGAGAGGGGUCCCUGAGGCUCCGGGCACCGAGGCCCCUGCGACUGCGACCGGGGCAGUGGCGAGUCCCCGGUCGCCCUUUCGACGCCGCGACGGGCUGCAGCGACAGUGGCUAUGGUUCGGGUUGGUUGCGACGGGCCCGGGUGGGCCUCGGGGCCCGGUGGCCGACCGGCCUUUGCCCGCCCCAGCCCCCUACAGCUGGAGGUGUGCGUCCCCCCCGUGGGGGAGAGGCGGAAGUGCGGGCGCGGGUUCGCAAAGUCGCCUCUCCUCGCCUUGACCGGUCCGCCCUCGCGGGGUCAGCGGCCGGAAGCCGGGCCGCCGCUCCCACCAACUCCGGCGGAGGGAGCUUCCGGAAUUCCCUCCCUGGCGGCGCCUGUUUGUGGCUUGGAGAGGGGAACGCUGACUCUGAAGCAGCCUCGAAGGGACUCCUGCUCAGGCCUGGAGUCUCGUUGCAGGUGUCAGUCUGUUGUUACCCAGCUUGGGGUCCCAGAAGCUUGACCUCACGAAUACCCGGGGUACUCAGUGGUUUAAUCAGCAAAGGGCCUUUGAAGGAUAUGCAGAAUGUGAAAGUACCACACUUCUGAAGGCAACGAUGUUUGGUUCCUUGCCCAAGGAUAGAAGCAGAUAUCAAGGGAGCCUGGGAGUGUUUGUGACCCCUCCAGCCAGCACUAAUGGUAAUGAGGUUAUGUACCAAGUAGAGAUGUAUGGAAAGCUAAAAGAGGACAUGCUAAGGAAGAGGACUCAAAAAAUGAUAAAGUGAUGUUUUGUACUCACUACAAGUCAACAAAGUAUGAAUUACACCGACAGGUAUGGUCAAAUAUUUGAUUUAAACUUCAUGUAAUACAGGUAACCCAGUAAUGGGGAAAUGCUGCAAAAACAACUUGCAGGAAGAUCUCUACUUCUCUUCAGGAGAUACUUGAAUACUUCCCAUUUCAAAAUUGAAGAUGACUUAGAUGCUACUUGCCAUACAGAAGAAAUUGAGGCUGUGAAAAUGUUAUCAGCUCCAUUUAUGAUUAAGUGACUGAGAAUAAAACCAGUGAACGGUAUAUAAAAGAACUUUGGUUUAAAGGUGACGACGUGGACAUUAUCAACUCACAUGAAGCACAAGGAGAUUCACAAAUGACUAGAAAAUUCCAUAACCCUCCAAACCAAUCCUUGUAAUCAUAGGACACCUAGGGGAGCAGGACAGUCAACAGGUACAUCCACAACUUUGGUGAAGUCUGUUGGCAGGGACUCUGACUUUCUUGAAAAAGUAGGAUGCUUUGAGGGCCUGUGAUUGGUUUUUCAAGUCAAAGGAUUAUAAGAAAAUAUUGUUUAUAACUAUGGAUGGGAUGAAAUCUUUAACCUAACUUAAGAGCAAUCACCAAAAUCCUCUCCAUACGUACUGGAUGACCUACAUGACUUUAUACAGCUCUCAAUAGGCACUCAUUGACAUGUGAAUUUGAUAUUCUCAUGGAGGCAAAAAUAAUCUGAGAGUAAGGUGGGAGUACUCAGAUUGCAUUGAAAGGUAUAAUAAUGCGGAAAUUUAAUAAUGCGGAAAUUCUGUAGGAUGUUUUCUUAAAGCUAAUUUUGACCAGGGACGAAAAUGUUGAGAGUGUUGGUAAUCUAGUAUAGCUUAUAGCCCUUAAUAAAAGGAUGUUAUAUUUGCUUUACUAUAGUACUUGUCCUCCAGACAAGUGAAAGAAUUUAACAACCUCAGCUACAUUAUGAUAAUCGGGAAUUUUCUACUCAAAAGAAUUGAGUGAGGAUGUACUUUUGAAGGGCCAAUUCAGUACUUAAGGCAUUGUCAACAAUGAGUAGAAAGGGGAGCACUGUUCUACUAGGAUCAGCUCUACUCCAAAACUGUGGUUAUGCCCUUUUUUUUUUUUAAUGAGUAUUACUUUCUAAAUUGAAAUGAUCCCACAAAACACUUGGUUUGAGGCUUGGUGAAGGGUGCCUUGUAGAUAAUGGAUGCAGAGGACAUUGGUUUGGAGUGUUUAGUGAAUGUGGCUUCUCAGGUCUCCCCAGCUGUUCCAAGGACAGGUGUUUAGGCUGGUGAUACUCAGGUUCUGCCUGCCCAGGAUGGAGAAGCUUUCCAAGCCUCUUAUAUCCCCAACUACAUUGUCCCAAAAUUCUAGUAUAUUACAUGGUUACAAAAAAAAAAGCAAGGAAUGAUCCUUGAUCAUUAAUGAUCCUUGCUAGGCUACCAACAUUAUCUUGCUACAUUGCCUACACUUGAUAUAAUAAUGAUUAGGCAUCUUACACAGUCAUAUUUUGGUGUUGUAAGAAAGAGGAAGUUGUGAAGGGCAUAUCAAUUCAGGUCUGCAAUGGUCAGAGGUAUAGUGGGAGUUAAGCAAAGCACUCUGGUCAGUUCUUACCACAUAAAUGGGAAGGUAUGUCUGGGUGUUGAAGGUGUUUGUGACCACUCUCAUGGUACUUAUGGGCCUAACAAAACUCAACUGCAUAUGUUUUUUCCAUGGUCUCAGUAGUUUGCCACACCUGGCUGUGGGAACCGUUUGGUUGUUCAGAUACCUGUCUGGAACAUCACAAGGCCUAGACAGCCACUGACUAGUUGCCAGGGUCAGAAACUCUGCUGUUAUAAUUGUUUCCUCACAGAGCAAUCAUGAGGGCUUGUGUAAUAGGAUGUGUUGGUGCUAUGAAUCAAAAAUGGCAAGUAUUAACUUGUAUAACAGUGUAACAAAAGUAUUUUGUAUAAAUAUAAGAAACCUGAGUAGGAACUUAAAAGUGCAAUCUGCACUGAUUAAUUUAAUUUGGUGCCUCUCAACCUUUUUUUUUUUUUUUCAUAGUUCCUCUUCCCACAAAGAGAUUUUCUAUAUUUUCUCUUAAAGUGUUCACAGAUUUAAGGCCAGUUGAUGAAUAUUGCUUUUCCCCCAUAGGUGAGGAUAAAUGGAAAGAGUAGGAUGGAUCUUACUGUUACUACAGGCAGUACUAGGUAUUUUAUUUUCAGGUUGUAUUUGGAGAGAAGCAAGCAUCUUUGCCUCUUUGGAGUAGGAAGUUCAGACUGGUAAAAGGUAGCUCUUCUCCCUUUUUUUAAUUUAGGGGAAAAAUUAAAGUAACUUUUUACAUUGGGCACUUUUUCUUGUUAAAAGUUUAAGGUGAUUGUUGUUUAUUUUUGCAGGUAUUCUUACAAAGAACUAAGAUUAUAAGCAGUGUCAUAUCUCUGGGUUUUAAACAACUUUUAAACAGGGUUUUCAGAAACCUAGACUACACCUUAGACUAAUCCUUGAGUUUUAAAGCUAUUUAAUUUUGUGAGCUAAUUACAUUAGGAACUAAAGUGAAGUAGGUAAUGUCUUGGAACUUUGCCACCUUUUACACUUUCUACUUUGGGAGUUGAUUAUAAAUGAGGGUGGUGGGAUGAAGGUGGAUAGAAUUAGUGCAGUGGCAUUGGACUUACAUAAUUGAAUGGAAAAAGGACAACCAUUGAUCUCAUCAUGCAUUAAAAUAUAAACCUGUAAUUUAAUUAUUACACUGUGUAACCACCACUGAGAUCAAGAAAGAGAAGAUUGCCAGCCUUCCACAUGUUGCUUCCAAAUUACAACCCUUCUCCCCACAGGUAACCACUAUUCUGACCUUAGAGUAAUUCCUUUUUUUAUAGCAGUGUUCCUCAUCUGGCAUGAGCAUCAUCUGGGAACUUGUUAGAAAUGCAAAUUCUUGGGCCCUUCCCAAGACCUAACACAGUUAUACAUUUUUGUGUGGGGGAUGAAUAUUUAUGUAGUUAAAGUCUACAGCAGUGAUUCUCAAGCUUUAGCGUGUAUGAGAAUGACCUGGAUGGCCUAUUAAAACAGAGGUGCUGGGGCCUACACCUAGAGUUUUUGAUGAUCUCUUUCUGGUUGUUUUAUUUACUGAUGCUAAUUUUCUUAUGUGCUGGGCAUGUUUGACUCUGUGCAAGUCAUUGCACUUGAAAUGUUAUUUUGCAGGAAUAACUGUGAGGCCUAUAAUACAACUACUUUGCUCCAAAGAGUAUUUGCAUUUGCUUCUGACAGGCACCUGGGGGCACUAUCAGUCUGGGAUCGCUUGUUCAAAGUUUGAUUUUUCCUGGACAACUCAAGGGAUUCUUACUUAUGUUUUAAUUCUCUUUAGAUUAUCCCAGUUCUUGUUCCCUUCACUCUGAGAUCCCGGAACCCAGAUUGUUGUAAGGGAAAGACUCCUGUCAGAUUCCCCAGCUUGUUUGGAUCCAGAGUUUGUCCCCUUCUGUACCCUGAAAGGCCAGGACAAUGGAGGGUUUGAGUUCCUGGGAUUAGCUAGUACUCUCAGGGAGAAAGUGGCUUCUGGCUUGUUCACCUCUCUAGAUUCUUGGCUUCUCUUUACUUUUGGCCUGAUAAUUCCUUACUAUUUUGUAAUCUCUUUGAUGCUUUUGAAAAGACUAUUUUAAAUAUAUUUUAUCCAGUUUUUUUAGUCGUUUUCAGUUAUAGGACUGAUGUGAACAACCUGAACCACCUUUACCAGAAGGGAAAUCUGGGAAAUAAAUUAUUAAUGCAUAGGAUUUUUUUCAAAAUACUGUGGUUUUUCAAAACAUUCAAAAUCUGUGGAUAUUAAUAUCCUUAAAAAACUUUUGUUUUUAGCUUACAACUUCUCCCAGACGUGGGACACACAAGAUGGUUUUAGUAUAAAAACUCUCCUUAUGAAAAGAUUCCCAGGGUUGCAUAUUUAUGACCUUUAACCACUCCAAAAGGCUCUGAUAUUUCUGGUGGGUUCCAAGGAAUGCUUACCACAACUUGAGAAACCCUGACAAAAUGCAGAGAUGUGCCUAGUACAGGACCCAUUUUGCAGUUUAUGGGUUUAUUUUUGCCUAGAGCUUUAACCAGUCUGGACACACCAAAUUUAGGAAGCAUAGAUGGCUUACACUUUUAUCCCUAAUGUUUCUGUCUAGGAUAACAUGUGGAAUGCCCCAAACUUUAUUUACUGUCAAGUUCUAAGCACUUGAUAGAUGAUAUUUUAACCACCUCCCUCUCUCCCCCAGAAGUACGUCAUAUCAUCUUCUUUUCCUGUUUGACGCCUAUGUCAUGUUGCUCCCUUGAGAUAGGCAAGAUUCUCAAAGAGAAAAUACCCCUUCCCAGUCCAUUGCUGACAAAUCAGAGUACAUUCCUUCCGGAUAGGAAUGAUUCUGUUACAUCUAUCUUUAGAUAUCUUUUGAAGGGGAUUGGAGAUGGAAGUACACUAAUGCUACACACGUGCAUUUGGAAGGUAAACUGGUAGGCUUUCCAGAUGUCAGAGAUUGUUAGUAAUACGGUGAGACACUUUAUCUUGAAUACUCUCACUGAUGCUUGAUGAUUAGGAUGUGUAGCAAUCCGUGUAGGCUAGGUUUGGGAUAGGAAUGAACAGACUCUGAGAGCUAUUUGUAGAGUCCUCUAAGGCUACUUGACAGUCAUUUGAUGAAUGUCAGGAUCCCCUGAAGGUGGUAAGGGUUAGUUGUAGUGGAGCACACAACCUCUCUAAGUUGUGUGUCGGGAUAAAUGCCAGAAUUUAAUCCUGAUGGUAGCAAGCAUUAGCGUUAUCUCAAAUAAAGGCUAUAACCCAACUAGUUAGAGCAGAGAAUGCCUUAAGGCAGUAGAACACAUGCUGCUCCCCAGUACCUUUCUCUGCCUUUCUUUUCCCUCCCUGAGAUGUGCCCAAAAUCUAUGCAUAGGCUUAUGGUACUAAUGCAGGCUGGAAGUCCCACCAGGUCAGAGGGACACUGAGUCUCCUCAGUCUGUGUUUUUCUUUAUCAGUUUAGAGCAUGAUGUCAUCGAUAUCUAAAUCAGUAAACCUGGAUUCUUGUUACCUUGUUGCUGGACCUAAAGUUCAUGUUUUGUGUAUAGACUUUCAAACUGUACCCCAGUAUGUAGGAACUCUCCAGUUCAGAGCUACAAAUAAUGGGCAUGUGGGUGGGAGGAGGGUGCUUUCCGUAUAACACAGGGGCUUUCCAACCGUGGGAUUUCUCAAGUCACAAUACUUAAAAAGUCAUGACCCAAUCCACCCCUUAGUUGAUAGCUUUUAUUUAUUUAUUUAUUUAUUUAUUUAUUUUAUUCUUAUGUUAAUCCCCAUACAUUACAUCAUUAGUUUUAGAUGAAGUGUUCCAUGAUUCAUUGUUUGUGCAUAACACCCAGUGCUCCAUGCAGAAUGUGCCCUCCUCAAUACCCACCACCAGGCUAACCCAUCCUCCCACCCCCCCCCCCCUCCAGAACCCUGUUUUUUUUCAGAGUCCAUCGUCUCUCAUGGUUCAGUUGAUAGCUUUUAUAUGGACCAACACAUUGAUCUCCAGACCAAUAUGAUGCCAUCAUUUAUUAUCUUCACACAAUUCAUCCCUUAAAAAUAGAAAUAGUGCUGUCACAAAUAAACUUCCUUAUUAUAAUUUCUACUUUACUAAAAGGUGUGGAGAACUAGGACCACAUGAAGUCCACUCAGUUUAAUCAUUUCCUUAUGGACAUAGCUUACUGAAUACCAUGUGUCUGGGGAGUCGUCUGGGAUAUAAGUAUUUUCCCUCUUUAAUAGCACAUGCUCCUCCUCCCUCCCUGGCUAGAAUAUAAUCUUAAGGGCAUGUGGUUGGAGACCACCAUAUAUCUUAUGGCUACAGUUUCUUCCACAUUAUUGUUGCGUAGCUGGUCAUCUCUAGCUGUAUCACAGAUCUUUGAAGUAGACCUGUCAAUCUGAACUUUGGAAAUUAUAUACUCCAUUCUGUUCCUGAGCCCAGUCGGGAUUUGUGGGAGCUAUUUAAUGGCUCCCAGUGAUGGGCUAGUUAGUUAGUUCCAAGUAGCAUCUCCCCCUGUAUUCCUCAGGCAGCCAUUGGUGUACACGCAGUCCUCGUAUCCAGUAAGUGGGAGAAUUAGGAGUAGACCUGCACCUUUUGCCAAAACCGAGUCCAAUCUUUGGUACUUGAUAUGGAUAUUAUAAUAUAGGACUGUUAUGAGCAUCCUUGAUAUCUGGUGCUGGUGUCUAAUCCCUUUAGCUCAGACUCAGAGAAAACAUUUAGAUAGGGUGGGACUAUGCUUUAGGACAACAGGAGCCAGGGAGUCUCAGGGUUUGGGAAUGGAUCAUCUCUCUCAUGGGUCCAGUUAAAUGAUCAGGUACAAUCAACCCUGUUCCAGGUGAUAGAGAUUUGAUAAGUAUAAUGUUCACGAUCCCCACAUAUAUUUUCUCUCUUAACUGCAGUAGAGCCUUCUAUUUAUUAUUACUUUUAAGCUUAGUCUUUGCAUAGGCUAUCCAAGUUCUGGAUUUUGCCUGGCGUUUUACUCAGUACCAUGAUUUCCCAUCCCUCAAUUGUUCUAGAAUAAAGUAUGUAUCUCCAACUGUUGGGAUAUGUAUUAUUCUGUGUCUGAAGCCUCUACACUAAUUAGAUAACUUGGCAUAGAGCCAAAUAAGCAAUUUAAUAUUUUCCUGAGAAAAGUCUAUUACUAUAGGUGUUAUGAGUCACCUAAGAUGUCUAGGGCAAUGACCAUGAUCAUUCCUUCAAGGUAAAACUAUAGCCGAUGUUUUUUGUACUAAAAUGAGGACUGUUGGCUUAUUGGCUGUAACCUUAUUUAAAUUGGUAUUAUAGCUAGCCCUUCCAUAAUUAAUCUUCAGUGUCUUCAGUGCAGGUAGCAGAGACCUCUUUGAGUUUCUUUCAGAAAGUUUCCAUGCAGAGUUACCUCCAGCUAUAGCAAUAUGUGAUUGGCAUUGAACUUUUGGGUAAUACCUGGUCAGAGCUCCAAGCCAAAGAGUCCCCAGAAGAGAGCACUCUACUCACCUUCCUCACUGGGAACUAAUACCUGGAAUAGUACAAUACACAUCUUUGAAUUACUGAACUUCUUUGUCUUACUACAAUAAAGUUUUCUUUGAGAAGACUUUCAAAUGAGGAUGACUCCCAGAAUGUAGCCAAUACAACCACUGUUCUCAAGGGAAGAGAUGGUAGACUCAUUGGUUUGGCAGCAACUCAGUCCAGUUCUUGCCCUGCAUCUUUCCAAGUUUGUUUCUGAAGUGGUUGGAGCCAAGUAGCCACUGGUAGAAAUUGUUAUAGAAGGGAUGGUGAAGUCCUAUACAAAGAGUAGAAGAGGGUCAGCUAGAUGCUUUUCUAUAGGUGGCUAAAGUCAUCAUUCAGUCAACUAGGAUGAACUGUGAUAGGUAGCUUAAGGUUCUUUUUUGUGUGGGGAGAAAAGGAGAGGAUGGGGCAGAGAUAAUAGUGUAUCUUCCCUAUUAUUAUUAUCUAUUCAGUAUUUUCAGGCCUGUUAUCUCUGUUAGCCUAUAGACUCCUGCAAGGCUACUUGUGACUUGGUGUUCAUGAAACAUUUGUGUCUCAACCAUACCUCACUCUGUACCCCACCCUCCAUACCCACAGGUCUGUUACUUGCACAUAAAGCUUCCUGUUCCCAAGUGUUCUCAGUAGAGGAAGUGUCCUAAUUUGGGGUCAUGGGCCUCCCCUUUAGGGGCAUUUGUCUCAGAACUGUCUGAAGUUUGGAUAUAGGUUUGAAAGGCAGACAGUAUGGUUGACAAACUCUAUUAUUUCUCUUGGUGUUUCCUUACCAUGACCAUUAAUGGGUUGCCCAUCAAUUUGGGCUUUUUUCCAAUCUUAUCUUUUAAUAGCUAGACCAAUAGGUCUUUCUACUGAGAACCUCUUUUUUACAUUUCCCCCCAUUUUCUUCUGUUAUUUUGGGAGCUGAAGUUCUCAGAAGUCUUCCUCAACUAUCUUUUCCAAAAUUGUGCAUAGGAAAGACUGCUAGUUAUCUACCCCUCUAUUCAUUCUUCUUUUCUUCUUUAUUAACAGAACCCUGAUUUGCAUGGAGCAUAUUUGCAAUGCGCUUAGCUAAAAAAAAAAAAAUGACAUUGUCCAUCCUCUGCUACCAAUAAGGAUGACACAGUGUGACAGAGUUCUUGUCAAUGAGGGGUAACUAAAUGUGUUGAGAGAUGUUUCUAGUAAAGCUCCUUAAAAGGGGGUAACUUCAGAGCAUGUGCCCUUUUGCUCUUCUUUCUUCGCCUUCUUCCUGCCUGUAUCUGAGAGGAGAUGUUGUACAUAGAACAGUCAUCUUGCUGCAAUAUGACCAUGUGAGAAAAGCAAAGUGAAGAGCCUGGGUUACAUCUGAAAAGGCUGGGUUAGUAACAGGGAGGAUAGGCGCUGUGUGUGAAGUCACACUGCAUAAUUUUUGCACACUGCCACCACCCCUGCCACCUUAGGUUGUAAAAACAUCCCUUUGUCACCCAGAUCCAUACUACUCCUGUAUCUCUAACACUGGUUACAGUAGGACUGUGCAGCUACUGGUUACUCUCACCAUCUGAGACAUUUUUUUUUAUACCUAAAUCCUUUAAAAAUAGCUGUUGGUACCUCUUUGCCUCAAGUUCAAAACUUGACAUUUCUUGUGAAUGGAAGGCCUGAGAUCCUCCAGUGGAGUAUGGUAUACAAUUUGAAAACAAUUCAGUUGGCAGCAAGUUGGUUACCCUCGCCAAUUAGAUUUUAAAAAUGAAUAUCCACAGAAACUGGCUUUUACAAUAGUAGUAAUAUAAGUGUACCAUGAGAUGGUUUUACAACACAUUACCCAUUUUAAAUGUAGAGAUCCAUAUUUUAAGUUUUGUGGAGGUGAAUUACUCUCUUUUUAGAUUCCUUUUUAUUUUCAGCCAGUCAUUCUAGCUUUGUAUUAUUUGUAAUAGUAAAACAUUGGAACAGGUUUAAGACCUACAAAUAUUAAGGGUUAUUGCAACAACUUAACAAAGUUCCAAAACAGUUAUGUAUUAAUUAAUUGUGGUCACAAAAUAGAAUCUACAAGUGCCUCAGUUUACAGAAAGAUCAUUUCUGUAUGUACAUAUAUAUAAUAUCAAGCUGUUACUGUUUUUUUUCCAGAUAAAUGGGAGAGAUAAUAUAGUCUGAAUGUUCUAUUUAAUUUUUCUGUAAUGAGCUGGUGUUAACUUUUUCUGCAUAAGAAUAAUUUUUUAAAAAUGAAAAGACGUCCUCUUGAUGGCCAUUGAACAAGAGAAACAGAAGAGUGUUGCUGAGAAAUGCAGGGCAUUCAGGAGCAGCAGGGGCCAGGGGAUGCCUGCUUUUGCUGCUCAGACACCCAGCUGACAGCCCAGACUGCUCCAGGCCCAUGAACUGCCCCUGAGCUGCUUAUAGGACCUGCGGGGCCAUGAGCCCUGGCUGUGACGCCAGAGAUGCUCUCUCUUGUCUGCGUUUACUUCCUCGUGGUGCCUUGCCCCAUCCCAUGUUAACAUGUCUCUCUGAUGCUUAAAAAGUGUGCUUUCACUUAUUCAAGAAACACUAGAAUUGGGGUUAUAUGCCAAACCCCUGAGUAAUGCUGAGAACAUUCCAGUGAAGCCAAACAGACCUCCAUGGAAUUAGUGUAUAGUAGGGGGAUAGACGCAAACCAGAUCAUCCCGAUGUAUAGAAUGGGAUAACGGCUAUGAAAGAAUAGGCUGCUAGGAGGUCGAGUUACUGGACAAGUGGGGAGACCCUCGUUACCUUGUGCAUUCAGAACUCCCACCUAAGCUGAGAACUGUCGGAGGGGAAAGAGCAGGUAUGUGACAGUUACGGUGAGGGGAACAGGUAUUCUGGAACAGAGGAAACAGCAUGCGUGAGGACCUCCAGAUGCUGUGAUCCUUAUUGCCCCAGUGAAGGGAGCGAGAGGACGGUGGCCGCAGUAGAGAAAGUGGGGAGAAUGGCUAGAUGAGUUUGCAGAGGUGAGUAGAGGCCAAAUCACACAGGACUUUGUAAAUUAGGAUAUGAUAUUGUCUUUUUUCCUAAGCAGUCACACCAUUGAAUGGUUUUGAGCUGAAAAAAUACCUGAAUCAGGUUAGUUUUCACACUGGCUGCGGUCCCGGAAAUGGCUUGGAGGAAGAGACCAGCGAGGGAUUGGAAAGAACCAUGAUCAGGAAAGGGCCGGUCAUUUCUAUAGCUACUCUAUUUAAAUGAGGCGAUUGCAGAAUCUGGCCGAGUGUUUGUAACCUUGGCCGACUACUAGUUAGCAUUCUCUGCUCUUGAAAUGGCUGCCCAUCUGCUUCGUUCUUCCCUGUAUGGGUUCCCAAGUUUGCCAUAGAUAAACUUUUGGACAGUGGUCAUGUCUGAGUUAUGAGGUAAAUUCUUUGCUCUUCCCAUAGCAUUGAAGCCACAGCUAUGAAAACAACUAACAAAUAUGGGAGCUUACUAGGAGCCACACACUGUAGUAGGCACUGGCAUAUGGAGUGAGUAGAGUCCCUUCUCUCAUGGAACUUACUGGACUGGGAGCAAAUAUUAAAUCUUGCCAGUAUGAUUACAAACUGUGAGAUGAUCAUGUCAACUUGUCUAACUUGUCUAAGGAGCAGCAGGGGCCAAGGGAUGCCUGCUUUUGCUGCUCAGACACCACAGCCGACAGCCCAGACUGCUCCAGGCUCAUGAACUGCCCCUGAGCUGCAAGCCACUAACAAAAAUCCUAAGGUAGCACUCUUCACGGCUCCCCAACCCAGGGCUGCCUGGUAUAAUUGUGCAUUUGGAGUGUUGCACAGAGAUGCCUGGCCAAGGGAGCUAACAGGGUUGAAAACUCUACCAGAAUUUCCCUUGUAAACCGAAACCCUGUGCAAGGCUACAGCUGCCCAGAGGAAAGAAAGGUGCCUUGUUCUUUUGUACCGAAGUGUCCUAGAGGUCAGCAUGCUCUUCCUCUCAUAUUAGAAGGGAAUUCCUUAUUCUCAAGAUGGAAAUGGCAGGCUCUAGCUUGUAAAUGUGUAGCUGCCUUGAGAACAGAAAUGUAUCUGAGGUGAAUGUUAUAAGCAUGAGUGGGUGUCAUUGUAAGCUAAAAAAGAAUGGAGUCUAAAGAAGGCCUAGGACAUAGAUAUUUUUUAGGACCUAAUUUUAAAACCGAUCCUGCAUCAGCAGGACUUGGCUCAAUGUUACACAGAGCUAAGGCAAGUGGGGAAAGACAACCUAGUGGCAGGACCGUGGAGGAAAUAGCUGGUGGUGCAUCAGGAGGGUGGUUGUACGGGGUGAUGGACUGUGUGCGCAUCACACUGGGGGAAGUUGUGUGAGAGGAAAAGGGAUCUAUCUAUAAAAUCAUGUAUUGGGGGGCACCUGGGUGGCUCGGUUGGUUAAGCGUCUGCCUUCAGCUCAGGUCAUGAUCCCAGGGUCCUGGGAUCAGGUCCCACAUCGGGCUCCCCCUGCUCUGUGGGGAGCCUGCUUCUCCCUCUGCCUCUGCCUGCCACUCUCCCUGCUUGUGCUGUCUCUCUCUCUCUGUCAAAUAAAUAAAUAAAAUCUUUUAAAAAAAUCAUGUAUUGGUUUCUGUUUGCUGAGCCUGGCUAAUUAAACAAAGCUUCACUCCCCUAAUAUUAACAUUUUGGUCUCAGUUUUGAAAUCAUAGACUCUCAGCUUAUGGGAGUGGUUCUGCAUCUGAGAAGAAUCCUGCUGGAAUAAACCCAGAAACAAAAAGCAAAGGACGAGAAGCCAGGUAUUUUGGAGUCUUGGCUCUUCCCAAUAGUUGUAUGAUCUUGGACAGGUGGAGCAAACCUCUCUUGAGUCUUCAUUGUUUCAUCUGAAAAUAGGAGGCUGCCUUCCUCACUGGGUUACAAGCCUCAAAAGAUACUGAGAUAAAACUUUGUAAACUGAAAGGAAAUAAAAGCAUACUUUUUGUCAUGAAAUGCCAAGUUUCAAAGUUUCAGAGGCCUGACCCUGAGCUGGGUUGAGCUGCCUGGGUUCGCUGAACCUCUGCCUUGGAGUGGUCCAUUUCUGAGGGCGGGUCUGGGCUCAUCUGUCUUCUGGCUAUGUCAAGGGUUUGGACUACACUCUAGCAUUGAUGCCUGAAAAAAUUUUGUCAUAUAGACCCAAGACAAUAGGUUAUUUCCUGAUUCAGACAGGUUAUGUUCUGACCAUUGGACAUCUGUCUCCUCACGGAAUCUGGGGUCAGUUGAGAUCUCUUUUCCUUUAAUGGGGAUUGUAAAAUCGAGGUAACUCUCAGGCACCAGCACCACCCUUAACAGAUGCAUUAGAGACCCCUCUCCCCUUGGUUGCUAGUUUGUUGGGCAUCACAACCCACACAGGACUGGUUCACUGCUCCUCAGGCUCAGUCCCUCACUUGCCCUCCCUCCGACAGAUACUUUGAGUUAGUGAUGAUCAUAGAAAACAGUGGCAAAGGUAAGUAGAAGCAUCUACAUCAGCCUUUUUUUCCCUCUCUGGUGGUCAUUACUGAAAUGAUAGCAGCCAAAAUGAAGUUUGAUCCCUCUAACUUCUCACUAGAGCAAGAACCCUAAAAGGCAUUUCAGUGCACCUUCCCACAUGCAUAGGAAGAUUGCCUUCCCCUCUUUCCAAGUUGUUAAGAUGGAAGUAUAAUGUUCAAUCCAUGCCCAUCCAUAAGGAUGUUGAGUUCAGUUUGUGUGAGGACACUACGAAGGUCAGCAAAUUGGCCAGGUGGUCCAGGUGAGAGGAAACGUGCCAUCCACAAUGAACAAGUACAGCAGAAGGCUAAUAACACCACUGUGCAUGUGGUUAUUCAUGUAGCAAGGUGGUUAUCACCAGGCCAAAACUACAAAAAGAUCCUUGAAAGCAAAGCCAAAUGGAAGGAAAAUAUCUCCGUGUCUUUGUGAAGACCCACGGGGAGGUUUCUUUGUCUUCACACCAAAAAUGAUUUUGAUUCUCAUGAAUGAUAGCUUUAUUUCAUGGAGAUCUUGAUCUUGUAACAGAUCAAGUUCCCCAUUUUCAUGGGCUGCUCUGAUCCCCAGAGCACACAUAUGACAGAAAAAUAUGCAAAAGAUGUGAACAGAUCACAUACACACACAAAAGAUAUAAAAAUAGCCUAUAAACAUAGGAAAAGAUAUCCAGUCUUACUCAGAGAAAUGAAAAUUAAAAUCACAAAUACCAUUUCUCACCUUUCAGACUGGGAAAAAUUGCAUCGCAUAAUAUUCUGAUGCAAAGUUAUGAGGAGACUGCUAACCCUCAUAUGUUGUGGGUAAAAAUGCAAACCAAUGAAAGCACUGUGGAGGAAAUUUAACAGUAUUUAACAAAAUGACAUAAUUAUUUACCUUUUGAGCCAGCAAUUUCACUUUUGGGAAUGCACCCACUUGUGGGAAUCUGUAUCUCCAACAAUAUAACAAUAUGUGUCAUGAGAAUAUUCACUGUGGCAUUGUUUGUAAUUGCAAUACUGAGAACAACCUAUCAGCCCAGGAAAUUUAAAAUGACUGUGAUUAAUAUGCUAAGGGCUCUAAGGGGUAAAAUAGCAUGCAAGAAGAGAUGGGCAGGGCGCCUGGGUGGCUCAGAUGGUUAAGCAUCUGCCUUCGGCUCAGGUCAUGAUCCUGGGGUCCUGGGAUCGAGUCCCGCAUCGGGCUCCCUGCUGGCGGGGAGCCUGCUUCUCUCUCUGCCUCUGCCUCUCUCUCUCUGACUCUCAUGAAUAAAUAAAUAAAAAAAAAAAAUUUAAAAAAAAAAAAGAAGAGAUGGGCAAUGUAAGCAGAGAGAUGGAAAUCCUAAGAAAGAACCAAAAAGAAAUAC